GGUGCAAUUGAAAUUAAAUCUCUGAAUGGAAUUCCAUUCAAAGUCAAUGGACAAUGGCUAAAGCUUAAUCAAGGAUUCAUUAAGGAUGAAGAGGAAGAGAUCUCGCUACAAGCGGCCGAGGAAUGAACAAAGGUUUGUACACCAACAUCAUAUCUUGUAGGUAAUGGACGUCGGGAAAGCUUCAAAAAUCGGUAAGAAAUUAUUAGUUUUUACCCACCCACGGGGCCGUGCCCGCUGGACAUGGGGCCGUGGUCGGCUACUGUUGGGCAUAAAACCCCUUUUUCUUCUCAUUUUCAUUUCACCACGACCGGUUUCCCCCAAAAACUCUCUGGUUCAACCGCAAAUCUCUGCAGAUUUUCACGUCUUUUCUCAAUCCAACGUCAACAAGAUGGCCAACAAAUUCACAAAGUUCAAGACAAAUGAGUGGGACUUCUAAGCCCGCUUUGAUGUUCUCACAACAAGGCCCGAGGAAAUUCCAAGACAAGUAUGCCUCGAGACCCUAGAAGCUGUGGGGCAGCUAGACCGUUUCAACACCCUAGUCACGGGUCCACUAAGGGUGGCCCUCUACACUAGACUCCGUGCAGUUCACGAAUAUAGCAUGGAGUUCUACAGCACUUUCACGUUCAAAGCUAAAGCAGAGCCGUUCGACGGAGAGGGAGUUCAAUUCCGGUGUGCGGGGGAGAUGCUUUCAAUCUCUAUUGCACAAUUUGGAGUGCAAAUUGGUCUGUUCUCUGAAGAAGAGUCCGAUGAAGAAGAAAACACGGGUGGUCUCCGUGAGAUCUCAACCAACAUGCGUCAGACGGCAUGGGCUCAAAUCGGGGAUGGUCCAUACGAUCCAAGCCAAAUCAAGAGCUCCUAAUUGCGGGACCCUCUCUACUGCUACAUUCAUAGGGUCCUUAGCAACUCUCUCAGUCAAAGGCGUGAUAGCACCGGUGUAGUCAACUUACGUGAUCUGACGGUCUUGUACUGCAUCCACAACCGUGUUGCUCUUGAUGUCCCACACCUACUCCUCCCAAACAUGCACCUGAAUCAGUUGGCUUCCUCCGCGACACCUAUCUUCUUUGGGGGAUGGAUCUACCGCCUUUUCAAGACCUAUGUUCAACGCAUGUCGAAAUCCUUCCGUAAGGGUCCAUGGUUGGGCAAGGUAGAUCUCAUUCAAUGUCAUUCAAUGGGGAUCAUCCACGAGACGGGUGACGGGACAGUCCGUUUCCAAACCACUCAGGGGCAUGUUUGGAACCCGGAGGAAGCCCUCGUUCUUCACGCCAUCCCAAUCUGUCCUCCUCCUCAAUUUCAUGGCCAGCCGGGUUCAUCCUCCUCUCAUGGGGGUGGUUUUCCUAACCUUCAAGGUUUGCAUGAUCUUUUGUAGGAAAACCUCAUAUGCACCCGCAACACCUACAACAUGGCCAGCAACACCUACACUCGGGUCAGAGCAAUGGAGAGGAACAUCUCUGAAAUGCAAGAUGACAUCACCUACAUCCGGGAUCACAUGGUGUAUCAAGGAGGAGACGAUGAAGACGAAGACAUGGACUGAUUCGGAGGAAUUGGAGGUAGUGUGACAUCGGAUGCAGCUUCUCUCAGGUUAAUCCUUUUAUCCCACGAACAAUUAACUGGCCUGCGUGCCAAAGUUUGAACAAUUUACUUCCCUUAACACUUUUACUUUCUACAUUUUAUUUUUCGUUUGCAUGUGAUGUUGGAUAAUUAACUUUGGUAGUUUAGGAUUGGUUGUUAUU